AGAGGAACCUGUUCUAUAAUCGAUAAUCCACGAUGGACCUUACUUAAGUUUGUUAAUCAGUUUAUAUACCGUCGUUAUUAGAAUAUUUUAUAAGAAUAAUAAUUUUCAUAAAAUUUUAUAAAAACAUAUAUCAGAUCAAGGUGUAGCUUAUAUUUAAGUAGAAAUGGGUUACAAUAAAAAUAUUUAUACGGAAAUAAUUAUGAAAAAAUUAUUUAAGGUGGAUUUGAUAGUAAAAUUAUAAAGAUUAAUAAUUUGAUUUUAGCUCUAAAAUAUGU
rnacentral:rRNA from 1 species